rnacentral:rRNA from 1 species
GUUUGAUUAUGGCUCAGAUUGAACGCUGGCGGGAUGCUUUACACAUGCAAGUCGAACGGCAGCACGGACUUCGGUCUGGUGGCGAGUGGCGAACGGGUGAGUAAUGUAUCGGAACGUGCCUAGUAGCGGGGGAUAACUACGCUGAAAGCAGUAAAGCAAUACCGCAUACGCUCCCUGGGGGAAAGCGGACCUUCGGGCCUCGCACUAUUAGAGCGGCCGAUAUCGGAUUAGCUAGUUGGUGGGUAACGGCUCACCAUGCUAUCGAUCCGUAGCUGGUUUGAGAGGACGACCAGCCACACUGGGACUGAGACACGGCCCAGACUCCUACGGGAGGCAGCAGGGGAAUUUUGGACAAUGGGGGAAACCCUGAUCCAGCCAUCCCGCGUGUGCGAUGAAGUACCUUCGGGUUGUAAAGCACUUUUUGGCAGGAAAGAAACGGCACGGGAUAAUACCCCGUGCAACUGACGGUACCUGCAGAAUAAGCACCGCAAUAACUACGUGCCAGCAGCCGCGGUAAUACGUAGGGUGCAAGCGUUAAUCGGAAUUGAUUGGGCGUAAAGCGUGCGCAGGCGGUUCGGAAAGAAAGAUGUAAAAUCCCAGAGCUUAACUUUGGAACUGCAUUUUUAACUACCGAGCUAGAGUGUGUCAGAGGGAGGUGGAAUUCCGCGUGUAGUAAGUGAAACGUGUGAUAUGCAGAGGAACACCGAUGGCGAAGGCAGCCUCCUGGGAUAACACUGACGCUCAUGCACGAAAGCGUGGGGAGCAACAGAUGAUGCACCUGGUAGUCCACGCCCUAAACGAUGUCAACUAGCUGUUGGGGCCUUCGGGCCUUGGUAGCGCAGCUAACGCGUGAAGUUGACCGUCCGGGGAGUACGGUCGCAAGAUUAAAACUCAAAGGAAUUGACGGGGACCCGCAGGCGGUGGAUGAUGUGGAUUAAUUGAUGCAACGCGAAAAACCUUACCUACCCUUGACAUGUCUGGAAUCCCGAAGAGAUUUGGGAGUGCUCGUAAGAGAACCGGAACACAGGUGCUGCAUACGGCUGUCGUCAGCUCGCCGUGAGAUGCCGGGUUAAGUCCCGCAACGAGCGCAACCUUGUCAUUAGUUGCUACGAAAGGGCACUCUAAUGAGACUGCCGGUGACAAACCGGAGGAAGGUGGGGAUGACGUCAAGUCCUCAUGGCCCUUAUGGGUAGGGCUUCACACGUCAUACAAUGGUCGGGACAGAGGGUCGCCAACCCGCGAGGGGGGAGCCAAUCCCAGAAACCGACUGUAGUCCGGAUCGCAGUCUGCAACUCGACUGCGUGAAGUCGGAAUCGCUAGUGAAUCGCGGAUCAGCAUGUCGCGUGAAUACGUUCCCGGGUCUUGUACACACCGCCCGUCACACCAUGGGAGGUGGGGUUUUACCAGAAGUAGUUAGCCUAACCGUAAGGAGGGCGAUUACCACGGUAGGAUUCAUGACUGGGGUGAAGUCGUAACAAGGUAA